AGAUUAAGUUAUUAAGGGCGCACGGUGGAUGCCUUGGCACUAGAAGCCGACGAAGGACGUUACUAACGACGAUAUGCUUUGGGUAGCUGUAAGUAAGCGUUGAUCCAGAGAUUUCCGAAUGGGGGAACCCAGCACGAGUUAUGUCGUGUUAUCGACAAGUGAAUUCAUAGCUUGUCAGAAGGCAGACCCGGAGAACUGAAACAUCUUAGUACCCGGAGGAAGAGAAAGAAAAAUCGAUUCCCUGAGUAGCGGCGAGCGAAACGGGAAGAGCCCAAACCAAUAAGCUUGCUUAUUGGGGUUGUAGGACACUCUAUACGGAGUUACAAAGGAAUAUGUUAGACGAAUCAUCUGGAAAGUUGAAUCAAAGAAGGUAAUAAUCCUGUAGUUGAAAAUAUAUUCUCUCUUGAGUGGAUCCUGAGUACGACGGAGCACGUGAAAUUCCGUCGGAAUCUGGGAGGACCAUCUCCUAAGGCUAAAUACUCUCUAGUGACCGAUAGUGAACCAGUACCGUGAGGGAAAGGUGAAAAGUACCCCGGAAGGGGAGUGAAAGAGAACUUGAAACCGUGUGCUUACAAGUAGUCAGAGCCCGUUAAUGGGUGAUGGCGUGCCUUUUGUAGAAUGAACCGGCGAGUUACGAUCUGAUGCAAGGUUAAGCAGGAAAUGUGGAGCCGUAGCGAAAGCGAGUCUGAAUAGGGCGUUGAGUAUUUGGUCGUAGACCCGAAACCAGGUGAUCUACCCAUGGUCAGGUUGAAGUUCAGGUAACACUGAAUGGAGGACCGAACCGACUUAC
rnacentral:rRNA from 1 species